UGCGUAGGCGGUGUGGUAAGUCUGUUGUGAAACCUCCGGGCUCAACUCGGAGCCUGCAACGGAAACUGCCGUGCUGGAGUAUGGGAGAGGUGAGUGGAAUUCCCGGUGUAGCGGUGAAAUGCGUAGAUAUCGGGAGGAACAUCCGAGGCGAAAGCGGCUCGCUGGAUCGCAACUGACGCUGAGGGACGAAAGCUAGGGGAGCAAACAGGAUUAGAUACCCUGGUAGUCCUAGCCCUAAACCAUCAGGACUUGGGGUUUGCCCUGUACGGGGCAAGUCCCGGAGCUAACGCGUUAAGUCCUGCGCCUGGGGAGUACGGUCGCAAGGCUGAA
rnacentral:rRNA from 1 species